rnacentral:rRNA from 1 species
CCUACGGGAGGCAGCAGUGGGGAAUAUUGCACAAUGGGCGCAAGCCUGAUGCAGCAACGCCGCGUGAAUGAUGAAGGCCUUCGGGUCGUAAAGUUCUGUCCUAAGGGAAGAAUACAGUGACGGUACCUUAGGAGGAAGCCCCGGCUAACUACGUGCCAGCAGCCGCGGUAAUACGUAGGGGGCAAGCGUUAUCCGGAAUCACUGGGCGUAAAGGGAGCGUAGGCGGUUUGACAAGCCAGAGGUGAAAGGCAAUAGCUUAACUAUUGUAAGCCUUUGGAACUGUCGAACUUGAGUGUAGGAGAGGAAAGUGGAAUUCCUAGUGUAGCGGUGAAAUGCGUAGAUAUUAGGAGGAACACCAGUGGCGAAGGCGACUUUCUGGACUAUAACUGACGCUGAGGCUCGAAAGCGUGGGGAGCAAACAGGAUUAGAUACCCUGGUAGUCCACGCUGUAAACGAUGAAUACUAGGUGUCUGGGGUCAAACCUAGGUGCCGCAGCUAACGCAUUAAGUAUUCCGCCUGGGGAGUACGCACGCAAGUGUGAAACUCAAAGGAAUUGACGG